GACUAUAAUAAUCAAUUCUAUUUGACGAGGUCUGUUAAUGCUUUAGCAAGGAGCUUAUGAAAUGACAGUAUAAAAUAAACUGGAUGCAGUAGAAGGGAAUGUACUAUAUCGAGUGGAGAUUUUAAACAACUUCUGUUGAAACAACCAAGUGGUGGAAGUUUAAGAUCAUGGAGCCGCCAUGUACCAUAAAGAUGAACUUUGAUAUCGAUUUAGAGACUAACAAAAUUGAUCGAGAUGGAAAUCAUUGUAUUGAAGGUAAAAGAAGCAUGCGUUUCUUUCUUUACAUUGUUUUGUUGGUUGAAUGGUGAAACAAUUCCUAGAGGGAUUAGCAUAAUCAUAAUUGGGAGCAUUGGCAAAUGCUAAGUGGUCCUUUUCUACUGAAACAAG